rnacentral:tRNA from 1 species
GGAGAAAUGGUCUAGUGGUAGGGCACAGGCGACCUGGAUUCUGGAUGUCAGUUCGAGUCUGACUUUCUCCA